rnacentral:rRNA from 1 species
GACGAACGCUGGCGGCGGGCUUAACACAUGCAAGUCGAACGGCAAGGCCCUGCUAUCGUGGGGUGAUCGAGUGGCGAACGGGUGAGUAACACGUGAGUAACCUGCUCUUGACUUUGGGAUAACUUCAGGAAACUGGGGUUAAUACCGGAUAGGAGAUCCUGCUGCAUGGUGGGGGUUGGAAAGUCUCGGCGUCUGGGGAUGGAGUCGCGGCUUAUCAGCUUGUUGGUGGGGUAGUGGCUUACCAAGCCUGUGAGGGGUAGCCGGCAUGAGAGGGUGACCGGCCACAUCGGGACUGAGAGACGGGCCGGACUGGUGCAGGAGGGAGCAGGGGGGAAUGUUGCACAAUGGCAGGAAGCGUGGUGGAGGAACGCCGCGUGCGUGAUAACGGCCUUCGGGGUGGAAGCAGCUUUGGCGUGUAACGACGCGUUGGUGACGGUAAUGGGUAAGGAGACACCGGCUAAAUACGUG